GAUGAACGCUAGCGGCAGGCUUAACACAUGCAAGUCGAGGGGUAUUGGUUUUCGGACCAAGAGACCGGCGCACGGGUGCGUAACGCGUAUGCAAUCUACCUUUUGCAGAGGGAUAGCCCAGAGAAAUUUGGAUUAAUACCUCAUAGUAUAGUACUUUGGCAUCAAGGAACUAUUAAAGUCACAACGGCAAAAGAAUGAGCAUGCGUCCCAUUAGCUAGUUGGUAAGGUAACGGCUUACCAAGGCAAUGAUGGGUAGGGGUCCUGAGAGGGAGAUCCCCCACACUGGUACUGAGACACGGACCAGACUCCGUACGGGGAGGCAGCAGUGAGGAAUAUGANAAUGGCGACAAGCCUGAUCCAGCCAUGCCGCGUGC
rnacentral:rRNA from 1 species